rnacentral:rRNA from 1 species
UGGGCAACCUGCCCUCAGCUCUGGGAUAACCCCGGGAAACCGGGGCUAAUACCGGAUACGACCUCCUCGGGCAUCCGUGGAGGUGGAAAGGUUUUUCCGGCUGAGGAUGGGCCCGCGGCCUAUCAGCUAGUUGGUGGGGUGACGGCCUACCAAGGCGACGACAGGUAGCCGGCCUGAGAGGGCGACCGGCCACACUGGGACUGAGACACGGCCCAGACUCCUACGGGAGGCA